AUUGAACGCUGGCGGCAGGCCUAACACAUGCAAGUCGAACGGUAACAGGAAGAAGCUUGCUGCUUUGCUGUCGCGUGGCGGACGGGUGUGACAUGUCUGGGACACUGCUUGAUGGCGGGGGAUAACUACUGGAAACGGUAGCUAAUACCGCAUAUCGACGCAAGACCAAAGAGGGGGAGUGUCGGGCCUCUUGCCAUCGGCUGUGCCCAGACGGGAUUAGCUAGUAGGUGGGGUAACGGCUUACCUAGGCGACGAUCCCUAGCUGGUCUGAGAGGAUGAACAGCCACACUGGAACUGAGACACGGUCCAGACUCCUACGGGAGGCAGCAGUAGGGAAUAUUGCGCAAUGGGCGAAAGCCUGAUGGAGCCACGCCGCGUGUAUGAAGAAGGUCUUCGGGUUGUAAAAUACUUUCAGCGGGGAGGAAGGGAGUAAUGUGAAUACCUGUGCGCAUUGACGGUACCCGCAGAAGAAGCAACGGCUAACUACGUG
rnacentral:rRNA from 1 species